CUACGGGUGGCUCCAGUGGGGAAUAUUGGACAAUGAGCGAAAGCUUGAUCCAGCAAUGCCACGUGAGUGAUGAAGGCUUUCGGGUCGUAAAGCUCUUUCAGUGAGGAAGAUAAUGACGGUACUCACAGAAGAAGGACCGGCUAACUCCGUGCCAGCAGCCGCGGUAAUACGGAGGGUUCUAGCGUUGUUCGGAUUUAUUGGGCAUAAAGGGUACGUAGGCGGUUUAGUGUGUCAGAUGUGAAAGCCCGGGGCUCAACCUCGGAAUUGCAUUUGAAACUGCUUGACUAGAGAAUGGUAUGGGAUGGCGGAACUUCUAGUGUAGGGGUGAAAUCCGUAGAUAUUAGAAAGAACACCAAAGGUGAAGACAGCUAUCUAGACCAUUACUGACGCUGAGGUACGAAGGCGUGGGGAGCAAACAGGAUUAGAUACCCCAGUAGUC
rnacentral:rRNA from 1 species